AUAUAUAUAUAUAUAUAUAUAAAAGCAAAUAUCCAUGAUGAUAUAAAAGUGAUGUAAUAUAAGUGAUGGCAAUGUAAGUACAGUGUAAAAGGGGAGGAGUGGACUCUAGGUGCUCAUAAACAGCAGCUCUGAGCUCAGUUCAGCAGCUCACAAGGUUGAAGGAGCCCUUCAAACACUGGUCUCGGAUCAGAAUACGAACCCUUGUAGGUAUUCGUAUGUUGGGCAUAAAAUGGCUCAAGGAAGCCACACUGGGAUUGUGAUUGGCUACAGUUUUUUUUUCUUUUUUUUAAACUAGGAAAAAGGGCUGAGCUGGGCAUGCGUCGGUCCUUCCAUACUCUACCAUCUCAAAUACCAUUUGCCUAUUUAUGUGUAGCUUUAGUAGCGAUAUGUUCCGUAGCUUCACAGACCCAGAGGUGCUAACAGCCUGCCAGCUGGCCGCCCUUCUCAGAGCUGUGUAACCAAGAAAGCCAUUAGGAGUUAGCUUGAGCUUUACCCCCAUUCCUCUGAAAUUUUUUUUAGCCAGAGCAGCGCUGAAGCUCUUUCCUGCUAGUCUGUGAAUCGAUGCAUUUGAAGACUCUUCUCUUUUUUCCCCUCAUCUCCUGCCCAUAAUUAUCCGUAAUUCCUUUAUUUUUAUUUAUUUUUUUUGCUCUGGUUGCUUCUUUCUCUUGCUUUUUCAAUCCAUCCCAUCAUUCUGCACUACUCUCUUUGCUUUCCCCUCUCUCUCUUCUCUAUUAAAAGGUGCUUUAUUGACAUGUAAUCAGAGCAGUAGCAAGUCUGUGGUCUCUCCUCAGACGGACAUGUUCUCUGAGGACUUGAACUAAUGUUCACUAACCAAACAAGCCUUUGACAGAACACAACUCAACAGAACAGGGCAUUCUGACACAUGUACCACUCCCCGACCUCCCGUCUGAGUCCUGAACCCUUUUUUUUUUUUUUUUGUUAUUCACCCCCAACCCCAACAACAAAGCCAAGGUACAACCCAAUACAUACCCUGCUAAUCCAAAGAAGUCACGCUGACCUGCAUGAUUAAUGUGUCCACUUUUGUCGGAUGUGGGGGAGGAGGGAUCGGAUGGGAGACGGAGGUAAUGAUUAGCUCUGAUUGGCAGCCUGUAACGUACCUCAGGGAUAAGGCCUUACAGAGGGGAGAUCUAAUCCUGUCAUCCCCCCAUCGCUGUCAUCAUCAUCAUUAUAUUAGCCUCUCUUUCUCAGUUUUGUUUCUGUCUUCCUCCCCCCUUUUUUCUGUCUUUCUCUUCUUUUUUUGAUGCUGUAUCUUGUCCUCUUGUCUAUGCUGUGCCUUGCUCCUGUAAGUGUCAGUAAGCAAAGUGGUUUACUAGCUCAAAAAAAAAAAAAAAAAAACCUUUGCCAAAGUUGAUGGGAAAGUUAAGGUAGAGUUCUUUUCUAGGUUUUUAUUUAUACUAUAUAUUUGCAUACAGUACUUUACAUGCCAAUUACAGUGCAAUCUUCAUUUAUUUAUUGUUUAAAGAUUAAGAGACAAGUGUAGUUAUAUACUAAUUUUUUUCUUGUAGCAUGUUUUAUUUUUUCUUUUAAUUUUUAUUUUUUUUCAAUGGAUGUAUGUUAGAUUGUAUGAUUAAGGCCAGCAUUCCUUAUCUCAGUAACCCUUUAAGUAUUUUCUCUUACAGCUGUUGGGAACCUGUAGCUCAUCAGUCCAUGCAUUGCAGUUAUCAUUGCCGUUUCAAACGUGUAACCAAAUGCCUAUGUAUUUUUUGUUUUUUUGUUUUGUUUCAUCUCCUGUUUCGGCCGCGCACAGGCGAACAGUUCUUGUAAUGCUUAGAGAGACAUGUAGCAAGCCAGGCCUUAGGGUCAGUUCAAGUCAUCUGUAUUGGGAUAAACAUUGCUGCCUUUGGCUUUUUUUUUAAAAAAAAUUACUGAUUAGUGUUAUAAUGAAGCUUCUGAUAUCUUUUUACUGUUUUUAUUGCCAAAGUGCAGGCUUCUCUUUUUUCGUGUCCACUAGAUGUUGCGUUCGCAGUCGUCUAAAGGGUUCUGUGAUGUUCUUCUGUAACGACACAACAUUAUUAUUAUUAUUAUUAUUAUUAUUAUUAUUAUUAUUAUUAUUAUUAUUAUUAUUAUUAUUAUUCUCUCAAAAGGAAAAAAAGACAUUACCUUGAUCUGUGAUUAUGCUUCUUUUCAUAUUAUCUUUUAUUAUUUUUGGGGGGGGUUUUGUAAAGCGAAAACAAAUGUGCCAUUUUUGAAAUGUGUAGCCCCUUUUGGAGGAGAGUUCUUAUUUUUUUCACACAUAACCUGAUUUCUCACUGAAAAGGUAAAGAAGGCAAAAAAAAAAAAAAAAAACACCCAACACAAUCAUGCGAUGAUUUCAGGCAGACAAUAAUAAUGAUAUUGACGAUUCGUUUUUCAGGCUAGUGCUGGUAUAGCAGUAGUGAGUGUUUUUGUAUCCAGUGUUUUUUGCUAAGAGAUGAUAUACAGAGAUAUCUAUAGAGCUAUAGAAUGAGAUGGUAAAUACGUUAUGACUAACAGAGUUGAAGCACUUUUUUUAUGCUGAGCAUGAGGCUUGAUGAGUUUAAUGUGAGCGAUCCUUUACUCAUUUCCAAACACUACUGCCAACGGCGUCUGUUACACUCAUUGGCAUUAUUGUUGUCGUUGGCGUCACUGUGACAUUUGGCAUUACUGCAGCACUGUUCUGCGCUACUCAAAUGGCACCCUGCUCCCCAAAUAAACUGCGGUUCACGAGGGAGUGCGGUGCCUUCGUCAGACGUGCUCCUUGUGUGUCUCCCUAAACCUGUUGCAUUGCAAUCGACGGAUGACAUAUGAGGUGUCCUGUCCUUAAACCCACUGAUGUUACAUUGUCCAGCCCCCUUUUUAUUCCCCACAUUUCCAAGCCUUAAUGCCCCACUGGGAGAGCAGGGGUUCGCCUUGUGUUUGGUCCACGUCAGGCCAGUUAUGCUAGUGUUGAAUAGUCUGACGUUAACGCAGUGUUGACCAGAAGGCUUCAUAUUUGUGGGUAGGGUACUCCCUUUAUGUGCUGUGUUGUUUUUAUUUUCAAAUGCUGGUGAUUUUUCUAGAACCCCCUCCCCACUCACCCUGCAGGUCCUGCACAUUUUAGCGGGUAAAUCAAGAAUGAGAGACAAUGUUUUUUGCCCAGCAACCCCACGUCUGUGCCUUCUGAUCAGUUUUUAUUAUUUUCUCUUUUUUUUUUGUACAUUUUACAGUAAGUAGAGAUUUUGACUGAGAGAUUGGCGAUUUGACAAACGUACAGAGACUCACAGGUAUUUAACUAUUUUUUAAGCGAGACAAAAAAAAACCAUAUUUUUACCUCACGAUUUAAAUACAAACAUUCCAAUGUUGUCAUGGUCUACGAAUUGAGAAAAAAAAAAGAAAAGAAAUUCAUGCAUUUCUUCUUGUAUUGUAAAUGUUAGACAAUUUCAUAUGCAUUAUAUAAAAGAAACUGCCAUAUCAAUUUUAAUGUAUAGAUUUUUGCAAAUACUACCCUAUGUAUGUAAGACGUAACUGUAUCGGUAGCGUAUAUAUAAUAUAUUUAUGCCCAAUAAAUGUUUUAAUUUUUUUUCUGA
ensembl:lncRNA